rnacentral:rRNA from 1 species
AGGACGAACGCUGGCGGCGUGCCUAACACAUGCAAGUCGAACGGGACCAGGGGCAACUCUGGUUCAGUGGCGGACGGGUGCGUAACACGUGAGGAACAUGACCUUCGGCGGGGGAUAGCCGGCCCAACGGCCGGGUAAUACCGCGUACGACCACAUGGGGACAUCCCUGAGUGGUGAAAGCAGCAAUGCGCCGAUGGAGUGCCUCGCGGCCUAUCAGCUAGUUGGUGAGGUAACGGCUCACCAAGGCGACGACGGGUAGC